AACGAACGCUGGCGGCAGGCCUAACACAUGCAAGUCGAACGAGAAGCCACCUUCGGGUGGUGGAAAGUGGCAGACGGGUGAGUAACGCGUGGGAACGUGCCUUUCGGUUCGGGAUAACCCAGGGAAACUUGGGCUAAUACCGGAUACGCCCUCCGGGGGAAAGAUUCAUUGCCGAAAGAUCGGCCCGCGUCGGAUUAGCUAGUUGGUGGGGUAAUAACCUACCAAGGCGACGAUCCGUAGCUGGUCUGAGAGGAUGACCAGCCACACUGGGACUGAGACACGGCCCAGACUCCUACGGGAGGCAGCAGUGGGGAAUAUUGGACAAUGGGCGAAAGCCUGAUCCAGCCAUGCCGCGUGGGUGAAGAAGGCCUUAGGGUUGUAAAUCCCUUUCAGCGGGGACGAUAAUGACGGUACCCGCAGAAGAAGUCCCGGCUAACUCCGUGCCAGCAGCCGCCGCAG
rnacentral:rRNA from 1 species